UGUUGAAAAUGUCAUUGAAAACACUUGCCAGUUGGUCAGCGCAUGCUCGGGGUACACAUCCUGGUAGUCUGGCCCUGCGGCCUUGUGAAUGUUGACCUGUUUAAAGGUCUUACUCAUUGGUUACGGAGAGUGUGAUCACAGUCGUCCGUAGCAGCUGAUCUGCUCGUGCAUGCUUGUUGCUUGCCUUGAAGCUUGCCUUAGCUUGUCUGGUAGGGUCGUGCCACUGGGCAGCUCUCUGUGCUUCCCUUUGUAGUCUAAUAGUUUGCAAGCCCUGCCACAGCCGGUGUAUUAUGAUUCCAUCUUAGUCCUUUAUUAACGCUUUGCCUGUUUGUAGCUUAAUUACGGCACCAUCUGACCACUUCAAAAAUAAAUAAAUAAAUAAAAAGUCUGAAGAAAGAAAGGGGGAGCAAAGUCGUCGUCUUCGUCCCCCGGCCCGUCUCCAGACAGCAGCUUCAAAGGAAAUGUGUUCAGGGGCAAAUUCUCCGCCAAACACCAGACGCAAUGCACUUGGGUUGCGACAGGUGACGAUGCCUUUGUGCUGGGAGGGAACUGCAAAAAAAGGGCAAACAAGUUUCGACUGUGAAUAUGUGGCCAAACCAGCCACUUGCCAAUUAUACAGCGCGCUUCUGGUUAUUUUCCUGUUUGGUCCGGGCUGCGUUCUCACCUGCAGCGAGCCGAAUAGGAUCUGACCGAGACCACCCUUUUGCUCCCCAGAUCUUCUAAUUUGUGAAGUGUGAAAGUUCCUCAUCACAAUUUGUGGGUGGCAUUAGUCGAAUGUCUCGCCUAUGAUUUGAUUCUCUGCCUGUGAUUGUGGACAGAGGUAGCCAAUGGCAGUGAGAGGGGUUUCUUGCUCUCUUGGUGUGUGUUGAGCGCUGACAGCAGAAGAGAGUACGGAGCUCAGCAACAGAAAGCUUACCACACAUUUCCCCAGUCUGUCUUGACGAGAGCACAAGUCUACACCAUGGACCGCCUCUCCCUUGCUUCUUCUCUAGAUAACGAUGACGACACAACUCAAAAGGAGGACACAUGGAAUAUCUGAGGAAAAACAAAACCAUGGAGGGAAAGUAAAUUCCCAGACCAACCAGCCCUAAGGAUCUAACAUUCUAAAAUGACAACCAUGACCACACCUCAGCACCGGUCCAAACGUUAAAGGACCAAGAACGCACCAGGAGGGACUCCAGAGCUGACCCAUGCCUUCGCCGAGGAGGUUCUUGGUGGCGUCCACCUCGCUGCCUGUAGCCUUGGGCUGGGGCUGGAACCUGAGCGUGUACCUGGGGCUGCUGCUGCUACUGCUCCUGCUCAUGGGGCUCCUGCUCUGGAUGCUCCUCAAGCAGCUGAGGAACUCCGUGGGAUCUAGUCUGCAGCCCGGGCGCUCUCUGAGAGACCCUCGCCAUGGUCAGAGAGGAAACUAUGUCCUGUAACGGAAGAAUAAGAGUGUGCUGACUUUGUUGGACUGUGUCUUGUUGGAUGGAAAGACGGUCUUCUCCAGACUUGUAUUAGACUGUGUCUUGUUGGAUGGAAAGACGGUCUUCUCCAGACUUGUAUUAGACUGUGCCUAAAAAGACCUUUGUUAUAAGGAAAUGUUUUUUUUUCUGAAAGGAUGUUGGGCUUUGCCUCGCAGCUUGUUCAAUGGAAAGACGGUAUUUUAAAGAUCAAGAAUUCUAUUGGACUGUGCCAAAGACACUGUUGGAAGGAAAUACUCUCUUUUCUGAUAGGGUGAAAUACCUUUCUUUUCAAGAGGUGUCAGACUAUGCUGUAAGGACCGAUUUAUCCUUGAGCGGAUGGUCGAGGAGGCUGGAACAUAGCUAUAAAUCAUUUGUACACUGUAAAUUGAAUUCAAGAAUUCCAAUCAGAAUCAUUUCAAAUUUGGAUACAAUCACACGUUGUCUAUUUAUGCGUGGUAAUAUUUGGGAACAGAUUUCCUAAAUGAAAAUCACUCUGACAUUUCCUGGGGAUUUUACGGUCUUAUGUCAGAGAAUGAAAAUGAUUAAUAAUAGUAAAAUAUGUGUUUAUUCUUUGCUCAGAAAACUUGGGCCAAAUAAAAUCACUGGCAGGACCAAUUUGGCCCGUGGCCCGCCUAUUGGGGAACCCUGCUGUAGACCUUUGUCAUAAAGAAAGCGUGUUGGACUAUCCCUCACAGCUUGUGGAAAGGAAAGACCGUUUUCUCUAUGAACCUGUUUGAAUGUAAUGUACCUCAUGGUUUACAGAACACUUACCAUAAAGCCUUCUUCAGAAGUUUCUUGGACUGUGCCUCACGGCUUGUCGACUCACCGGAGCUAUACGCUAAUGGAGCUUAACAUGCCUAUAACCUGCUAUAAACUUGCUUAUUCUCCUCUCAACUGAAUAAUGGAUCAUAGAGAGCACAGCAGUGCUUUGGACUGCUUAGUUGUGAUUGACAGAGACCGUGACUCGGCAAUCCUUGUUUUAAUCAUGUAUUGCAUCUUAUUUCCAUGUAUGUACUGUGCCUAAAAUUGUACAUAACAAUGUAUUCACCAUUGCAUCAGUAGAUAUUUUCUGAGGAGUGCAUACAAUGUAACAUUUGCUGAGAAUAUACUCUGAUAGUAUUAAGAUAUCACCCAAAUUACAAAAUGACACAUUGAUUACAGAGUAAGGAAACCAGUCUUUGGACAAGGUAUGACAGCAAUCCACGGCUUGGUUUUAUUUCCUUGGCACUGUUUACAAAUGCUAAAGUUUUAGCACAAAUCCCAUUCAAGUCAUAGAACCGAUAUUAGCAACAACAAAACAAUUCAUCUAUAAGUGACUGUCGCGAUUCAGUACUUUCGGAUGAUUUGGACAUUUGAAUUAUAAUAUCGGUAGCAGGACUAGGAUGGGAUUUGUGCCACAAAUGUGGAAACAGUGCCUGGGAAACUAAACCAAAGCAUGGUUUGUUAUCAAACCUGGUUACAGAGUAAGGGAACAAAUGAUAUGAUUUGGGUGAACUAGACCUUUAAGUUUAUUUUCUCUUUUCAAGGCAUGUCGAAGUGGUAUCAAAUCAAUCUAUGCCAGUAUACAGUGUAACUCAUUAUAGUAUUGAUUGGCCACAAAACAGAGCAGGAGUCUCUCCGCAUUAAAUAUUGAUGAUAUUUUCA